AAACCCAAAAUAUAUUUUCAAUGCCUCAUAAAAAUAUCACUUUCAACAAUUUCAUAAAUAAUAUAUUCAAAAUAUCAUUUAAAACAUCAUGCAUAAUAUUUCCCAAAAUCCAUAUAUAAAAUAUACUUUCAAUACCCAACUAUACCAAACCCACAAUAUUUUACCAAAGCGCUUAUAAAAACAUCAAGCUCAACUCAUAAAUAUAAUAUAUUCAAUAAAUCAUUAAAAACAUUAUGCACAAAUGUUUCAUCAAUAAAACCAUGCAUAAGAUUUGAAAACAAG
rnacentral:lncRNA from 1 species